GGACCUGGAGCAGGAGUGAAUUAAAGAAGGACCUGGCUUCUCCAGACUUGCGGCUUCGUGCAUUUCGUCGUGCGACAGAAGGGAACGGGAUAAGAAGAGCAACCUGUGGAGUACGGCGUGAGGGGGACUAUUCCACAGAGCUUUGGGACUUUUCCUCUCACCUGGGAGCAGUGGAGGACUGGAGGUGUAGCCCAGACAGGGGGCAGCAGUGUGUGAGGGUGCAGUCCCAAUGGCAGGUGCUUGGGGCGUGGCCUGCUCAGGACAGUUACUCUAGGAGCCCAACAGGGGGCAGCACUUCACCUGGGCGAAUUUCACAGGAAGCGAGCUGAUGAGG